rnacentral:rRNA from 1 species
CCGUGAAAGUCCGGGGCUCAACUCCGGAUCUGCGGUGGGUACGGGCAGACUAGAGUGAUGUAGGGGAGACUGGAAUUCCUGGUGUAGCGGUGAAAUGCGCAGAUAUCAGGAGGAACACCGAUGGCGAAGGCAGGUCUCUGGGCAUUAACUGACGCUGAGGAGCGAAAGCAUGGGGAGCGAACAGGAUUAGAUACCCUGGUAGUCCAUGCCGUAAACGUUGGGCACUAGGUGUGGGGGACAUUCCACGUUUUCCGCGCCGUAGCUAACGCAUUAAGUGCCCCGCCUGGGGAGUACGGCCGCAAGGCUAAAACUCAAAGGAAUUGACGGGGGCCCGCACAAGCGGCGGAGCAUGCGGAUUAAUUCGAUGCAACGCGAAGAACCUUACCAAGGCUUGACAUGAACCGGAAAGAUCUGGAAACAGGUCCCCCACUUGUGGUCGGUUUACAGGUGGUGCAUGGUUGUCGUCAGCUCGUGUCGUGAGAUGUUGGGUUAAGUCCCGCAACGAGCGCAACCCUCGUUCUAUGUUGCCAGCACGUGAUGGUGGGGACUCAUAGGAGACUGCCGGGGUCAACUCGGAGGAAGGUGGGGACGACGUCAAAUCAUCAUGCCCCUUAUGUCUUGGGCUUCACGCAUGCUACAAUGGCCGGUACAAAGGGUUGCGAUACUGUGAGGUGGAGCUAAUCCCAAAAAGCCGGUCUCAGUUCGGAUUGGGGUCUGCAACUCGACCCCAUGAAGUCGGAGUCGCUAGUAAUCGCAGAUCAGCAACGCUGCGGUGAAUACGUUCCCGGGCCUUGUACACACCGCCCGUCAAGUCACGAAAGUUGGUAACACCCGAAGC